AACAGCAACUGCAAGGAAUUUGUUGAAAAGACAAGGAAAGGUUGGCGUCGUCGUACCGGCGAGUUCGCUGAGCUAUGUGAUCGUUGCGGUUCUGCUUAUGACGAUGGCAAAUUUUGUGACGCUUUUCACCUCAACUCUUCUGGAUGGAGAUCUUGUGAGUCUUGCGGAAAGCAAAUCCAUUGUGGAUGCAUUGUCUCUUUCCAUACAUUCGUUCUGUUGGAUGCUGGAGGUAUUGAGUGCAUAGCCUGCGCUAGGAAAAGCUUUAUUUUGCCUGAAAGAAUUAAAGACGUCAA
rnacentral:misc_RNA from 1 species